UUCCCGUCUCCAAGAAGCAUAUCUUGGGCAGGUGGCCUUUCCUCUCAAGAAAGCCAGAGACACCUAUUUCUGGCAUUCAUGUCACCUACUCUCCUUGUUCCUGUGAUCACUGGGACGGGCCUCCGUGCACUCCAGGCACUGUGCGCGUUUUGCAUGUUUUACACCCUCAAGGGCUCGUGCUCUCCUGGCCCUGGACAGCAGAAGCAUGUGGACUGUCGCAGCUCGGCUAGCCAUGAGCUUGGUUGGCCAAGGCUGCUUUUGGGUCUCCAGGGCGGAAGGCCAGUGGGGUCAGGAGGGGCCCCUGUGCAGCACCUGGCUUGGCAGCUGUCUCCUGACCCGGGGGAUUGCUGCUGGGGUGGGGCAGUCUCAGUGAAGGUGCCUUUCUGUAUCCUGUUUGAUGCUCCUUCACCUGAGGAGGGCAGCAGAGGGGCAGAGCUGCUCCUUGAUCUUUCCUCAGUCAGGGGGUCCUCAGCUCAGGGACCACCCCCACCACGGGCCUGGGGACCUCACUUCUGCAGUCACAGGACCACCAGGGAAUCGGGAAACAAAAGGCCAUGCCAGUCCUUGAAGGGAAACGGGCAGUCUCCACCGUAAGGCCUGCUUUUGGAGGAUCAUGUGGGCAGAGCAAGGCCACUUGGCGUUUUCUGCUCUCCUCGUCCCAUGCUCCCGUCCCUGGGAUGUCCUCCCAACGUUGAACAAACGCCCACCAGGCACCCAAGACUCGAGUGCACACAGCUUUUCACACACACUCUCUGGAUGAAGCUGAAUCUGCAUCCUCAGGUGGAAGCUGGUAGCCAGGGAGCCGUACCGGACACAAGACAGGCCGUGAGUUCAAGACACAUUCCAGAACCUUCCAUCCAGCAGGAUGGCUGAGGAAGGCCCUUUGACUAAGGUCCAGAACUGGGAUGUGAGAGGGAUGCACAUGGGCAGGGGUGGGGCACAUGGAAGGGUUGUGCAAGGUGCACACUGUGCGAUUGGGGACCAGGCCCAGGGCGGUCCAGCGGGACUCAGUGCUGCACUGGUUUGGGGGUGGACUUGGUCGCAGGGCAGCAGAGAGAGGAGACAGGGCAUGGACCUAACUGUCCUUGUCCACUCGGCAGGGACGGGAUGUGGGGCUUGAGAGAGGCUGACAGAAGCCUGGAAUCAGGAGGCGCCAGUUAGUGGUGUUUGGUGCCCGUACCUGCCGUGGCACAGCAGGAAGCAGCAGCACUCUGGAAAGGAGGCCUGGGCACAUGAGGCCCAGGUGGCGCUGCUCAGGGGCAGGAGGACCUGGUGGCCAUAGCCACAUAGCCGAUGGUCUCCUUGCCACAGCUGGAGGUCUGAGAUGCUCCCCACAGCUGAGAGGGGUGGAUAGCCCCUGGUCCCCGUGUGGCACAGGGCUUCACAGUGUAAUCCCAUUAUUGUCACACAAUUACCAGGGCCCUUGACGACGUCAUUAUUCUUCCUAAUCACCCAAAGACCUUUAGCAUUUAACUGGUAAAUAACUAAAUUUAAUUAAUACUCUAGAGUGCUGGGAAAACCUAAUUUCCCCUGUCCCUGUACUUUUGUACAAUUUUAUUUGCUGUACUAGGGAGGGUUUGUGAGGAUAAUAUGUGAAGACAC
rnacentral:lncRNA from 1 species